AGUGAACGCUGGCGGUAGGCCUAACACACGCAAGUCGAACGGCAGCACAGUAAGAGCUUGCUCUUACGGGUGGCGAGUGGCGGACGGGUGAGGAAUACAUCGGAAUCUACUUUUUCGUGGGGGAUAACGUAGGGAAACUUACGCUAAUACCGCAUACGACCUACGGGUGAAAGCAGGGGAUCUUCGGACCUUGCGCGAUUGAAUGAGCCGAUGUCGGAUUAGCUAGUUGGCGGGGUAAAGGCCCACCAAGGCGACGAUCCGUAGCUGGUCUGAGAGGAUGAUCAGCCACACUGGAACUGAGACACGGUCCAGACUCCUACGGGAGGCAGCAGUGGGGAAUAUUGGACAAUGGGCGCAGGCCUGAUCCAGCCAUACCGCGUGGGUGAAGAAGGCCUUCGGGUUGUAAAGCCCUUUUGUUGGGAAAGAAAAGCAGCAGGUUAAUACCCCGCUGUUCUGACGGUACCCAAAGAAUAAGCACCGGCUAACUUCGUG
rnacentral:rRNA from 1 species